GCACUGGUGGUUCAGUGGUAGAAUUCUCGCCUUCAGUGUGGGAGACCAGGGUUCAGCUUCCAGACAAUGCG
rnacentral:tRNA from 1 species